UCUCCGUUGGUGAACCAGCGGAGGGAUCAUUAUCGAGUUUAUAACUCCCAAACCCUAUGUGAACUUACCACUUGUUGCUUCGGCGCGCGCUUCGGCGCCGCCGAGGACACUUAAACUCUUUGUUUUUAUAAGCAUUUCUGAGUGGCCGAAAGGCAAAAUAAAAAUGAAUAAAAACUUUCAACAACGGAUCUCUUGGUUCUG
rnacentral:misc_RNA from 1 species